UCUGGUUGCAAUCUUCCUUGGCUUCCUUCUGGCCUGCUGGUGGUGAAAGUCUGUUUGGUUUGGUAGACCUGGCUGUAUUUUUGCAGAACGCAGGCCCAAAGAGAAGAGCAGGAAAUAAAGUGUGUCCUUGUUAAGCUACCAGUCUGUAGUUUUCUGGCUCCUCCCCUUCUCAAAGAUAGGGACACUUGCUUGUCUCCAGUCUUCUGGCAUCUCACCGUCCUUCAAGAAUGGCAGGCAGCAGGUCUGAGACCACCUUUGGAAGUUUCUUUAGUACUCUGGAAUGCAACUCAUCUGGCCCUUGAGACUUGUGUUCAUAUAAGUUGCUGAGAUAUUCCUUCUUGAAAACACUAGUGGAAGAGUUUGCCUGCUGAGCAAUGGUGAAGAUAGAUCAUAACUUAACUUGUCUGAGUCUGAAGAGGAGUGUCUUUCUAUGUACAUGGUGACCUAUGGGAGGGUUGGCUUCCAACAGGGCACAUGCCAGGAGUCGGGAUCAAAAAGUCACAGACAACACACGAGAUCAAAGAAGACCUUGUUGCUCAGGUAAAGCCUCAGCUCAGACAGAAAGCUCUUUAUAGUCCUUCCUGUUCAGAAGGAUUCAAUUUUCAGCCCGGAUGGGCAAGGUCAGGCUGAGAACUUUUUAUUCCUGUGAUAGUUCCGGGCUGCAGUUCUGGCAACGUGCCAUGAGGGGCAGCAGUUCACAACAUUUCAGGCACAGGUUGUUCCUAACCAAUGUGGAGAGGAGUAUAACAGUUUUAAAAGAUUCUAUAGGCCAUUUACACAUUCAGUU